AGGCUUGCGGAUAGCUGCCUGAAGCCCAGGGAGUGCAGCGGGAGUUGGUGCUACGCUCCCCGGGCUUCAGGCUGCAGGCUGCUAUCCGCAACCCUUUGGAGCCCAGUGGGAACUCCCACUGGGCUCCGAAGGCUUGCAGAUAGCUGCCUGAAGCCCUGGUAGCGCAGCGGGAGUUGGCGCUGCGCUCCCUGGGCUUCAGGCUGCAGGCUG